GAUCAUGGCUCAGAACGAACGCUGGUGGCGUGUCUAUACAUGCAAGUCGAGCGAGGCAGCAAUGCCGAGCGGCGAACGGGUGAGUAACGCGUAAGCAAUCUGCCCCAUAUCAGGAAAUACCCGUGCCAACGCGCGGUUAAUGUCCAGGAGAGUGGCCAGCUGCAUGGCUGGUUGACUAGAGAUUUAUCGGUAUGGGAUGAGCUUGCGUCCGAUUAGCUAGUUGGCGGGGCAACGGCCCACCAAGGCGACGAUCGGUAGCCGGCCUGAGAGGGUGAUCGGCCACAUUGGGACUGAGAUACGGCCCAGACUCCUACGGGAGGCAGCAGUAGGGAAUAUUGCACAAUGGGGGAAACCCUGAUGCAGCAACGCCACGUGUGGGAAGAAGCAUUUCGGUGUGUAAACCACUGUCAUGAGGGAAUAAGGCCCGCCUUCGGACGGGAUUGAAUGUACCUUGAGAGGAAGCACCGGCAAACUUCGUGCCAGCCGCGGC
rnacentral:rRNA from 1 species